AAUAUAAAACAAAAUACAAAUAUGCACCAUUUAUAGCUGAAUUCACUGAUUUAGUACUAAAUGGAUGUGCAAUGGAUCCAUUGGAACAAGUAGUAAACAACCCUAGUUGUGAUGAGAAAGAUGAUGAACUUCAAAAGGCAGAUUUUUCAAGGAUUACACCAAGACAAAGAAUGGCUAUGAAAAGAUUUAGCCAGAAAGAUGAUGAACUUCAAAAUGCAGACUUUUCAAGGAUUGCGCCAAGACAAAGAAUGGCCAUGAAAAGAUUUAGGUCAAAAUAUAUGUAUUAUUCUUAUUGUUAUGAUUCUUUGAGGUAUUCAGUGCCACCAC
rnacentral:lncRNA from 1 species